ensembl:lincRNA
GCGCCUAACCGGAAGGCGGCGCCCUGCGGAGGAGGCCCGGAGCACGUGGGUUGGGGACCUGCGGAUCCCUGCCUGUCCUCGGCCUACCGCGACCAGCAGGCACUCUGGGUCAGACCGGUGCGGGGCGCUGCGGCCCAGUUCCCUAGUAGGAGGACGUGACUCGAGGAACCCGAGGACGGAGCGGGGAGUCCGGGCCAGAGGGUGGGGACUAGGGAGGUUGCCUGGUCACUCUGGCGCUCCGCUGCGGGGCAUCCUCCGGCCCAGCAAAGGUGCAGUCUGGGAAGAAGGCGUCAGCAUCACCCAAAGGAGAGGGUACUUGGAACGCCUCAGGAAGAAAAAAAGGAAGGCUCUCAGGACCACCCAAUAAGCAACCGGGAAACCACGUACCAUGGACAGUGCUCGGGGAAUUUCGUAAGGGCUCCUCCUUACUCCUGGGGAUUCCAGGGAUCUGGCAGAGAAAGAAGCGCAGAUUCACCAGCAAUGGCUCCUGAACAUCCUUUGCAAAUACUACUUAGGACAGAUGGACUGAAGAGGGAAGGUGGAACUAAGGAUCCUGAAUCCAUUUGGAGGCAGAGAGGGGCCAACAGGGUGUCUGAAGGGAGCAAACGCAUCGAAGUUUUGGGAGCACCUCGAAGUGGGGCAGUGAAUGCAGAAGAGUGGGAGCAUACACACGUUUCUCCUCCUCGACCCAGAAUGAGACAGCCUUCAGAGAGCUCUUGCUAGCUCCUCACUCUAGCCUGGGUGAAGGGGGCACCUGUGCCAAAGCAGGCAGGCACACAGGCAGAUUGGAAGGAAUUUCUGUCUGCAGUGUUACAUGCCUGAGGGAUCCCGCCCUCAACCCUCUCCGUCUCUCAUGGUGCUCUCAUCCACCCCCUGCUGCAGCUCCUGCCUCUGUGCUGACAGCUCUGUCAGUCCAGCCCAGACCUCCCCUGGCAGUUCCAGACCAGCUGAUCCCACUGCCUCCUGACAGCCACUCUGGAUGUCCCACCAUUCCUCAGACUUGGCACGCUUUCCAAAUCCACACCCCCAUCUCAUUUCCAAGGAAGAACAAUCAGAGAGGCUUCCCCAGUACAAAUGCAUAGGACGUGGGAAACAAGGUUUCAAAGGAUAUCCCAGAAAAGCUCAAGGAUAGCACUGGCCUUUUGGAGGUGGCUUGGGGUGGUGUGGGAGGCAGGGUCAGCACUAACUUUUCCUUUCUCCCCUACGAUGGUGUGGACUUUUUAGCUUCCUGUCCUUUUCAUACCAUUUGCCAAAUUGAAUUUAAAUAAUUAUCACUGUAAUUGCUUAUUUUUUGUCUGUCUUUCCCAGUUUAAGCUUCUCAAGGGCAGGGAUCUGUCCAUUUUGCUUCUGUAUCCUUGGCAUCUGUCAUAUAAUCAGUAUCAGACAUAUAACAGGUGCUUAAUAAAUAUUUGUUUGAAUUAAUGAAUAUCCUUGUUCAUCACCCAAGAUGCAGAUCCUUCUGGGGCCCUUAUCCUUUCCUGUUCCCUUGUCCCUAUGGAGCUCCGUGCUUCAUUCACCUUAACUGGGACCCAACCGCACCCUCUCCCAACCCACAGCUUUUUUCAGAUGCUCUCAUGCCCUGGGCUGCUCCAUGGAAUGUGGGUAGUGAGUUAACCAAGCUGGACUGUCUGCAAGCAGAGGCAUGCGAGGUACCUUCAAGACAGUUCCCUGGAUGGUAAGACACUGAUCAAUGACAGUGGGGUGGGGCAAUGAGUGCUUCUCUGUGUCUUUACGAACUAAGCAGGGGCCUCAAAGAUGCCAGCUGCUGGGUGGGGGCUGGAGAUCCAGGCCAGGUCUGUGAUUGCUGAGUCAGCCUGAAGUGUGUAAGUGCAAUCAGCAAGGCAUGAUCUCCCUCUAGCCUCUUCUUCCCAGCUCCCCACUGCCCAGGAAAGGAUCUGACAAGCCACAGAAGUAAAUAAAUAACUUAGAAAUAAUAAAUAGGGGGCCAGCUCCCACUAGUGCAUACAGGCCGGCUCCAGCACAGGCACUUUCAGCCAACCGACGGCAAUGUCGCCUUCAAAUGCUGUCCCCACAGGGCCUGGGUGGGAGCUGAUGCCGCAGCCACUGUAGGGUUCAUCAGAGGAGGGGUCCCAGGUUCGAGGCUUGGCCAGUGCCAGAGUCUGUGAGAAGUGGGUCGGAAGGUCUUCAUAGCUGAGGUCUCUGGUGUCUUUUAGGCUGGGAUCCGCAGGGUGAGGGUCCUGGGGCUUCUAGCCAGUUGUCCCUCCACCUCUCCAGGGAUGCUGUCCAUCACUCACCGGCAGGGGCCUCUCAGCUCUGAGGCCUCUGUCCCUGGCUGAGGCCGCUGGCUCUGCGGGUCCCAGGCAGGAAGAGCCACCGAUAAGGGUCCAGUCUGCAAAGCCCUGGAGAGAGCACUCAGCCCAGGCAACCGCAGGCGGUGGCCGAGAGGCGGUCCACGGUUCUCCAGGUGCUGUUGACGUCCAUGAAGGAGACCGAUUCGUAGCGCGUGGGUCGGCAGCAGGGCUGGCUGACAGGCCGGGAGCCCGGGGGCGGUCGCAGGGCCCCGGCGCCCAGGAGGC